AAUACCCAAUUCCUUUUAGCAAUUAAAAAUACACAAUUUAAGUCUUUAACACGAUUAAAUCUCAAUUAAGCAAUGAAAACAGUACAAUUUGCGGAAUAUAAAACCAACAUAGCCCGACGUCGGGGUGUCACCAGUCAUGACCAUAUAUCAUAACAACUACAAGUCUUAAACAGUCUACUCAACUAUUACAUAACCAAAAAAGAAGCAAAUGAGAUAGAUGGAGAAGCACUGGGCUGCGAUCGCCAAGCAGCUACCUAGUGAAUCUCCGAAGUCUGCUGGAAGCUCUCAACCCUCGCGAGCAGGACCUGAAGCACCGGAACUGCACAUGGGGUGCAGGGAGUAAAGUGAGUACUCCAACUCAGUGAGUAAUAAUAAUAAAUGCAGAAUGAGAAAUAAGAAAUCACGUAAAGGCACAUCAACAAGCUAUAAAGAAAACAGUAAAAGCCAGUAAAUAUAAUGAAACAGUGAAAAUGUGUAAAGUCACUUUAGUUUAGUUUAAGCUUCUUUAGAAUGCCUUUUUAACAGCUAAGCAAGUAAAUGACAGGUAACUAGAAAAGAUAAACACAUAAAUAACCGCCCCUCGGGCUCAAUAGUAACAGAAUCAGCCCCUCGGGCAACACAUGGAACAACACCAGCCCCUCGGGCUAUAUCUCAAAUCACAAUGGGUACCCGCACUCACUGGGGGUGUGCAGACUCUUGGAGGGGCCCCUUACGGCCCAAGCGCAAUAUCAAGCCAUCUCGUGGCAUAAUCACAUAGAUUCUCGGCCUCAUAUCAACAAGGCACCUCAUGACGUACAAUCUCAGGCCCUCGGCCUUAUAAUCAUAAUCAAUGUAUCCUUACAACCCAGGCCCUCGACCUUACUCAAUCAAAAUCUCAUAAGCAACUCGGACAACAGUAAAACAUGAUGUUCCGCCCAAAUUAUCAUUUAAUAUAUUAAAACAGAGUAGACAUGGCUGAGUUAUAAAAACAGUAGAUUAUAGCAUGACUGAGUACAAGUAUAAAGUCAAAACGGUGAGGAAAUAUCAGUAAAAGAUCUCUUAAGGGUCCAAAUAGUUGGCACGAGGCCCAAUUAUGGCAUUCAGCCCAAAACAUGAUGAUAGCAAAUAGUUUUCAAUCAAAUACACCGUAAAAUAGUCAUUUGGGAUGGACUAAGUCACAAUCCCCAGCGGUGCACGACCCCACGCUCGUCAUCUAGCGUGUACGUCACCUCAAUAUAGCAAAACGAUGUGCAAUCCGGGGUUUCAUACCCUCAGGAAAACAUUUACAAUCAUUACUCACGUCAAUCUGGUCCAAACUCUAUCCUGCGAUGCCUUUUCCCCUCGAAUCGGCAUCCACUCGCAUCGAAUCCAUCAAAUUCGAAUCGGCCUCGAAUCGGCAUUCAGCCCAAGGCGACACACUAGGUCGAAUCAAUCCCUUAUCAAGGAUUUCCAGAAGCUGCUCCUUUAACUCCUUCAACUUCGCCGGUGCCAUCCAAUACGGUGGAAUAGAAAUGGCCUGAGUGCCCGGCACCAAGUCAAUCCAAAAUUAAUAUCCCUGUCUGGUGGCAUGCCCGGCAGGUCUACAGGAAAUAUAUUAGGAAAAUCCCUCACAACUGGAACUGAAUCAAUACUGGGAGUCUCUGUACCGACAUCCCUCACAAAGGCUAGAUACGAAACACAACCCUUCCCAACCAUAUGCUGGGCUUUCAAGAAUGAGAUUACCCUACUGGAAACAUAAUCAGUUAAACCUCUGCACUCAAUCCAUGGCACACCCGGUAUAGCCAAUGUGAUUGUCUUGGCAUGACAGUCCAGAAUAGCACGACACGGUGAUAGCCAAUCCAUGCCCAAAAUAACAUCGAAAUCCACCAUACAUAAUAACAAAAGAUCCACUCGGGUCUCCAAACCCCUAAUAGUCACCACACACGACCGGUACACACGGUCUACAACAACGGUAUCGCUCACCAGAGUAGAUACAUGAACAGGUGAAACAAGAGACUCAUAGGGCGUACCCAAAUAACAAGCAAAGUAUGAUGACACAUAAGAAAAGGUAGAACCAGGAUCAAAUAAUACAGAAGCAUCUCUGUGGCAGACUGAGACAAUACCUGUAAUAACAACAUCAGAAGCAAUAUCAUCGGGUCUAGUUGGAAGUGCAUAGAAAUGGGCCUGAUCACCACCUGAUCGACCUCCCCCUCUAAAGCGACCCCUAGCUGACUAACCUCCACCCCUAGCUGGCUGGGUAGGUGGUGAUAAACUAGCUGGCGAUGAAGCCGAUGGCUAACUCCUCUACUGAGAUGAACCCGCAAGACGACGAGGACAAUGCCUCUAUAUAUGACCCAUCUCUCUAAACAGAUAGCAACUCCCAGGUGCUGGAGAUGGGGAUAGAAGGGAACCCCUAGCACCGGGAUGACUAGCAGAUGCACCUAGCAUAGAAGAGCCUUGAAUUGAUGGAGCACGGGAUGAACUCUUAGCUGGAAGAGCACUAAGUGAUGAUUGGCCCUGAUGAGAACUGUGAGAACCAUGACCCAAUGAUGCCCCACGAUAACCUGGGCGAGCUGGCUGAGCAUGCCUGAANNNNNNNNNNNNNNNNNNNNNNNNNNNNNNNNNNNNNNNNNNNNNNNNNNNNNNNNNNNNNNNNNNNNNNNNNNNNNNNNNNNNNNNNNNNNNNNNNNNNNNNNNNNNNNNNNNNNNNNNNNNNNNNNNNNNNNNNNNNNNNNNNNNNNNNNNNNNNNNNNNNNNNNNNNNNNNNNNNNNNNNNNNNNNNNNNNNNNNNNNNNNNNNNNNNNNNNNNNNNNNNNNNNNNNNNNNNNNNNNNNNNNNNNNNCUCGAGGCCUCUUGGCCUCCCUCUCCUCUCGCUCCCAGCGACGAACUGACUCAAUCUCACGAGCAAUGUCCACAACCUCCUCAAAAGUAGAACCAGUCACCCUCUCUCUGGUCAUGAGAAUACAAAGCUAAUAAGUUAGGCUAUCAACAAACCUCCUAAUCCUCUCUCUAUCUGUCGGAACCAACCAAAUCGCAUGGCGAGUUAACUUAGAGAACCUCAUCUCAUACUGCGUCACAAUCAUCUCUCCCUGAUGCAACCACUCGAACUGCCUGCGCAGCUCCUCUCUACGAGACUACGGCAUAUACUUCUCCAAAAAGAGAAUGGAGAACUGUUUCCAGGUAAGGGGUGCUGCACCAACAGGCCUACGCCUCUCAAAAGCCUCCCACCAAGUGAAGGCAGCUCCAUAAAACUGAUAAGUAGUGAAAGCAACCUCGUUGGUCUCCAGAAUACCCGUUGUACGAAGCAUCCUCUGACACUUAUCCAAGAAACCCUGGGCAUCCUCACCCUCUGCACCACUAAAAGUCGGAGGCUGAAGUCUGCCAAACCUCUCCAACCUACGCUGCUCGUCCUCUGGCAUCGCAGGAACUACAUAGUCCUAAGUAGUUGCAACUGUCUGGGUUGGUUGCGCCCCCGGUGUCUGAAGUCCCUGCAUGACCUGCUCAGGUGUGCGAGCGGCGGGAGUCUAAGUGCCUCCUCCAGCCUGAGAAGUAGCUGCGACUGUAGUAACUGAGACCGCCUGAGCUAGGCCAAUGCAUACUGACAUAAUUUAAGCCAAGGCCUCCUAAAGACCCGGAAUCACAAUGGGCACAACUGGUGCCUGAACUGGUGCUACUGGAGCAUCCACAGCUAGGACCUGAUCCUGAACUAGGGCGGCUGAUGGAUCUGCAAGUUCUGCCCUAGCUGUUGUGCGGGCCACACCCCUACCCCUACCGCGACCACGACCGCAUCCUCGGCCUCUAGUGGCCACAACUGGUGGUGCUAGUGGUCGUCCAUCCUGACCGGUAGGACGUGUCCUCACCAUCUGUGAGAGAAUAGAAUAAUAGAAGUUUAGUACUCGGAUCAACAGAUUCGCAUGACAAGAAUUUCAAGAAUAUGAAGCUUGUCCUAAAGGUUCUACAGCCUCUCAAGGAUAAAUACAGACGUCUCCGUACCGAUCCGCGAGACUUUACUAAACAUGAUCAUGACUCGUGACACCUAUGUAAUCUAGGCUCUGAUACUAACAUGUCACGACCAUAAACCCAGACUCGGUCAUGAUGGUGCCUCUCAUACAUACAAGGCCAGCCGACACAACACCCAAUUCCUUUUAGCAAUUGAAAAUACACAAAUUAAGUCUUUAACACGAUAAAAUCUCAAUUAAGCAGUGAAAACAAAACAAUUUGCGGAAUAUAAAACCAACAAAGCCCGACAUCGGGGUGUCACCAGUCAUGAGCAUCUAUCAUAAGAAAUACAAGUCUUUAAAGAGUCUACUCAACAAUUACAUAACCAAAACAGAAGAAAAUAAGAUAAAGGGAGAAGCACUAGGCUGCGAACGCCGAGCAGCUACCUAGUGAAUCUCCGAAGUCUACUAGAAGCUCUCAACCCUCGUGAGCAGGACCUGAAGCGCCUGAAUCUGCACAUGGGGUGCAGGGAGUAAAGUGAGUACUCCAACUCAAUGAGUAAUAAUAAUAAAUGCAGACUCGGAAAUCACGUAAAGGCACAUCAAUAGGAUAUAAAGAAAACAGUAAAAGCCAGUAAAAAUAAUGAAACAGUGAAAAUGUGUAAAGUCACUUUAGUUCAGUUUAAGCUUCUUUAGAAUGCCUUUUUAAUAUCUAAGCAAGUAAAUUAUAGGUAACUAGAAAAAAUAAACACAUAAAGAACCGCCCCUCAGGCUCAAUACCAACAAAAUCAGCCCAUCGGGCAACACAUGGAACAACACCAGCCCCUCGGGCUAUAUCUCAAAUCACAAUGGGUACCUGCGCUCACUGGGGGUGUGUAGACUCCUGGAGGGGCCCCUUACGGCCCAAGCGCAAUAUCACAUAGGCUCUCGGCCUCAUAUCAACAAGCCACCUUGUGGCGUACAAUCUCAGGCCCCUCGGCCUUAUAAUCAUAAGCAGUGUAUCCACACAACAUAGGCCCUCGGCCUUACUCAGUCAAAAUCUCAUAAGCCACUAGGGCAAUAGUAAAACAUGAUGCUCAGCCCAAAUUAUCAUUUAAAAUAUCAUUUAAUGUAUUAAAACAGAGUAUACAUGGAUGAGUUAUGAAAAUAGUAGAUUAUAGCAUGACUGAGUACAAGUAUAAAGUCAAAACGGUGAGGAAAUAUCAGUAAAAGAUCUCCUAAGGGUCCAAAUAGUUGGCACGAGGCCCAAUUAUGGCAUUCAGCCCAAAACAUGAUGAUAGCAAAUACUUUUAAAUCAAAUACUAGGUAAAACAGUCAUUUGGGACAGACAAGUCACAAUCCCAAAUGGUGCACGACCCCACGCUCGUCGUCUAGCGUGUACGUCACCUUAAUAUAGCACAACGAUGUGUAAUCCGGGUUUUCAUACCCUCAGGACAACAUUUACAAUCAUUACUCACCUCCAUCCGGUCCAAACUCUAGCCCGCGAUGCCUUUGCCCCUCGA
rnacentral:lncRNA from 1 species